CUAAUUUCUAAAUUAACCCCAUUCGUGCAGCCUAUCUUAACCUUUUGCAGGCUCUUAUGGAAAUUAGUUACUUGGUUAGGUUGGAGUAGGCUUGAUGAUACUGCAACAAUUUGGAGGGGUUAGUGGCUUUCUUUUCUAUACAAAUUCCAUAUUUAUCUCCGCAGGCUUUUGGGAUAGUCUUGGAACGAUAGCAACGGUUGCUGUUAAGGUCCCAUUGACAACUUUAGGAGUGCUUUUGAUGGAUAAAUGUGGAAGACGGCCACUUUUACUGGAAGCUUCCUCACAGCUCUAUCAUUCUUCUUGAAGGAUUUACAUAAAUGGAAUGGAAUCAGUCCCAUUAUGGCGCUUGUUGGUGUAGUGGUGUAUAUGGGAUCUUUCUCGCUAGGCUUGGCAGGAAUUCCGUGGGUAAUAAUGUCUGAGAUAUUUUCCAUUAAUGCGAAGGGCUCUGCUUGAAGUUUAGUAACCUUGGUUAACUGGUCGUGCUCUUGGAUUGUUUCAUAUGCUUUUAACUUUCUCGUGAGUUGGAGUUCGGAAGCUACAGAAUUCAUGCAUAAUAAACACACCCAGUUAUUCAAAACAAAGGAGUGCUUCGCAUUCGCAGGUCUGAAGGGAAAUAAUAUUCAGCAAGUAACAGUAGUUAUUGUAUUGUAUGUUUUUUUUUCAAUAUUAUUUUAUGUCUCAUCUUACAUUUCUCAUUUAAUUUUCUGUUACUAUUUAGUAAUAAAAAAAAACUGUACAAAUAUCAUAGUGUGGAAAUAAAUACCAUUGUGAAAAAAUAAUGCAAUGGUAUGUGUUGGGUUGAAAAAAAAU